rnacentral:piRNA from 1 species
UGGUGCAGUGGAAUCUAGAAUUUAGAGUA